rnacentral:lncRNA from 1 species
GCCAAUCCUCCUCUUUUUGCAGAGGAAGACUGGCCCUGAGCUAACGUCCAUGCCCAUCUUCCUCUACUUUAUAUGUGGGAUGCCUACCACAGCAUGGCUUGCCAGGCAGUGCCAUGUCCGCACCAGGGAUCCCAACUGGCAAACCCCGGCCGCCGAAGCGGAACGUGCGCACUUAACUGCUGCACCACCCACCAGCCCCUGAAGAAACCUUUCAACGGAAGGAGAUGGGAGAACAGCAAAGAGAUCAGAAAAGUGUAGGCAACAAGGAGAUAGCACAGGCUUUUGAGCAGAAGAACGAUACCGUUGGACCGCUAUUGCAGGCCAAGCAUUUAGGCAGCCAUGUGUGGGGUGGAUGGCAGCCAGGAGCGAUGGCCCCAGGAGGCCAGUUUCAGAGAUUGUUGCAAGAUUCUAGAUUGGAAGCUCCUUGAAAGCAGAGCCCAUGUAUUACAACUUUGUAUCCUAUCUCAAUUCUUAGCACAUGAAAGAUGGCUGCAAAUUGGAAUUCCUAUUUUCUGAAAUUGCCUCCUGACUUUGCCCUAGAACUAUCCUAUUUUGUAAUGGGCCUGCAAUCUGCCUCUGAAUGGAAGUCAUGGAAAGGAUCAAAAAUGACUGACCAGCGUUGGUGGAGUUUGGGUUUUUUUUAAAUAAUAGUAGGUAUUAAUGUAGCACACUGUAUUUGUAGUGCUUUGAAAUAAAUAUCACAAUAUUAUAUGUAAAUAUACAUAUAACCAAAC